rnacentral:rRNA from 1 species
UACGAAGGGGGCUAGCGUUGCUCGGAAUCACUGGGCGUAAAGGGAGCGUAGGCGGGUUUCUAAGUCAGGUGUUUAAUCCCGGGGCCCAACCCCGGACAGGCACUUGAAACUGGGAAUCUUGAAUAGUGGAGAGGUCAGUGGAAUUGGGGGUGUAGCGGUGGAAUGCGUAGAGAUCCCCAAGAACACCAGUUGCGAAGGCGGCUGACUGGACACAUAUUGACGCUGAGGCUCGAAAGCAUGGGGAGCAAACAGG